rnacentral:rRNA from 1 species
UGAACGCUGGCGGUAGGCCUAACACAUGCAAGUCGAACGGCAGCACAGUAAGAGCUUGCUCUUACGGGUGGCGAGUGGCGGACGGGUGAGGAAUACAUCGGAAUCUACUUUUUCGUGGGGGAUAACGUAGGGAAACUUACGCUAAUACCGCAUACGACCUACGGGUGAAAGUAGGGGAUCUUCGGACCUUGCGCGAUUGAAUGAGCCGAUGUCGGAUUAGCUAGUUGGCGGGGUAAAGGCCCACCAAGGCGACGAUCCGUAGCUGGUCUGAGAGGAUGAUCAGCCACACUGGAACUGAGACACGGUCCAGACUCCUACGGGAGGCAGCAGUGGGGAAUAUUGGACAAUGGGCGCAAGCCUGAUCCAGCCAUACCGCGUGGGUGAAGAAGGCCUUCGGGUUGUAAAGCCCUUUUGUUGGGAAAGAAAAGCAGCAGGUUAAUACCCCGCUGUUCUGACGGUACCCAAAGAAUAAGCACCGGCUAACUUCGUG